UACGUAGGGUGCGAGCGUUGUCCGGAAUUAUUGGGCGUAAAGAGCUCGUAGGCGGCUUGUCGCGUCGGAUGUGAAAGCCCGGGGCUUAACCCGGGAAUGGCAGUCAAAACUACAAGUCUUGAGUGCCUGAGAGGAUGGCGGAAUUCCCGGUGUAGUAGUGAAAUACGUAGAUAUCGGGAAGAACACCUGAGGCGAAGGCGGCUAUCUGGCGGUGCACUGACGCUGAGGCGCGAAAGCGUGGGGAGCAAACAGG
rnacentral:rRNA from 1 species